AACAAACGCUGGCGGCGUGCCUAACACAUGCAAGUCGUGCGAGAAAGUCCCCUUCGGGGGGCGAGUAAAGCGGCGAACGGGUGAGUAACACGUGGGUAACCUGCCUCCGGGAUCGGGAUAACGUGCCGAAAGGCGCGCUAAUACCGGUUAAGACCACGCGGACUAAUGUCCGAGCGGUAAAAGAUGGCCUCUGCUUGCAAGCUAUUACCUGGAGAUGGGCCCGCGGCCUAUUAGCUAGUUGGUAGGGUAACGGCCUACCAAGGCUAUGAUGGGUAGCCGGCCUGAGAGGGUGUACGGCCACACUGGAACUGAGACACGGUCCAGACUCCUACGGGAGGCAGCAGUGGGGAAUUUUGCGCAAUGGGGGAAACCCUGACGCAGCAACGCCGCGUGAGCGAUGAAGGCCUUCGGGUCGUAAAGCUCUUUUAGUGGGGACGAAAUGCAGCGGUGCCAACACCACCGUUGUUUGACAGUACCUACAGAAAAAGUUCCGGCUAACUCCGUGCCAGCAGCCGCCGUAAAAC
rnacentral:rRNA from 1 species